rnacentral:rRNA from 1 species
GACGAACGCUGGCGGCGUGCCUAAUACAUGCAAGUAGGACGCUGAAGGAGGAGCUUGCUCUUCUGGAUGAGUUGCGAACGGGUGAGUAACGCGUAGGUAACCUGCCUGGUAGCGGGGGAUAACUAUUGGAAACGAUAGCUAAUACCGCAUAAGAGUAGAUGUUGCAUGACAUUUGCUUAAAAGGUGCACUUGCAUCACUACCAGAUGGACCUGCGUUGUAUUAGCUAGUUGGUGGGGUAACGGCUCACCAAGGCGACGAUACAUAGCCGACCUGAGAGGGGGGACGGCCACACUGGGACUGAGACACGGCCCAGACUCCUACGGGAGGCAGCAGGAGGGAAUCUUCGGCAAUGGACGGAAGUCUGACCGAGCAACGCCGCGUGAGGGAAGAAGGGUUUCGGAUCGGAAAGCUCUGUUGGAAGAGAAGAAAGAGUGUGAGGGUGGAAAGUUCACACUGUGACGGUAUCUGACCAGAAAGGGACGGCUAACUACGUG